rnacentral:rRNA from 1 species
AUGAAACUUAUUGGAUGGAACUGCCGAGGACUCGGGAACGGCCCGGCAGUUCGUAGCCUCCUCGAUCUGGGGAGGGUGGAGGAUCCUGAUGUGUUGUUCCUGGCGGAGACAAAAUUGACAGAGAAGGAGCUGGAGAGGUUCCGAUGGACGCUCGGGCUUGCUCACAUGACAGCCUGGAAUCCAGAGGGCCGGAGUAGAGGAGUAGCUUUAUUUUGGAAACGUGGAGUGGAUGUGGCGUUGAGAUCGUAUGGCCGGAGGCAUAUUGAUGUCGAUGUGACAGAGGAGGACGGCAAGGUGUGGAGACAAACUGGAGUGUAUGGCUUGGAGGACGUUGAAGAUCUUAGGGCAGCAACAUCAACAGGGGCGUCCCUGGCAAUGUCUGGGCGAUUACAAUGA